AACUUUGCGCUGAGGCAGUGUCUAAUCCAAUGAAGUCUCAACUGAGGAGCGAAUAUUGCUAGUUGAAACCAUUGACAAUAUGUAUAUCGCGUACGCACACUCGCAUAAAAGAAAUUUCUUGCGAUGAAGACUUUCU